UCCAACCUCAAAUAAGAUAUGAGAGAAAUUGGAUGAAAUACAUAAAAGACAAUAAUCCAACUUAAAUGCAUCAUGUCUCAUGGCUCUUAAAGAUUUGAAAGUAACCUCUAAUUCUAUUUAUUCAAAUUUAAUGCUUUUGAUGAAUUACAAGAUGCUUAUAAUGAGCUAUAUCUUGAAUAUGAAUCCAUGAAGAGGAAAUAUAAGAAAAUGAUUUCAAAGUUGAAUGUAGAGAAUAAGUUUUU
rnacentral:lncRNA from 1 species